rnacentral:rRNA from 1 species
GACGAACGCUGGCGGCGUGCCUAGUACAUGCAAGUUGAGCGCUGAAGGUUGGUACUUGUACCAACUGGAUGAGCAGCGAACGGGUGAGUAACGCGUGGGGAAUCUGCCUUUGAGCGGGGGACAACAUUUGGAAACGAAUGCUAAUACCGCAUAAAAACUUUAAACACAAGUUUUAAGUUUGAAAGAUGCAAUUGCAUCACUCAAAGAUGAUCCCGCGUUGUAUUAGCUAGUUGGUGAGGUAAAGGCUCACCAAGGCGAUGAUACAUAGCCGACCUGAGAGGGUGAUCGGCCACAUUGGGACUGAGACACGGCCCAAACUCCUACGGGAGGCAGCAGUAGGGAAUCUUCGGCAAUGGACGAAAGUCUGACCGAGCAACGCCGCGUGAGUGAAGAAGGGUUUCGGAUCGUAAAACUCUGUUGGUAGAGAAGAACGUUGGUGAGAGUGGAAAGCUCAUCAAGUGACGGUAACUACCCAGAAAGGGACGGCUAACUACGUG